GAUGAACGCUGGCGGCGUGCCUAAUACAUGCAAGUCGAGCGAACGGACGAGAAGCUUGCUUCUCUGAUGUUAGCGGCGGACGGGUGAGUAACACGUGGAUAACCUACCUAUAAGACUGGGAUAACUUCGGGAAACCGUAGCUAAUACCGGAUAAUAUUUUGAACCGCAUGGUUCAAAAGUGAAAGACGGUCUUGCUGUCACUUAUAGAUGGAUCCGCGCUGCAUUAGCUAGUUGGUAAGGUAACGGCUUACCAAGGCAACGAUGCAUAACCGACCUGAGAGGGUGAUCGGCCCUACUGGAACGGAGACACGGUCCAGACUUCUACGGGAGGCAGCAGUAGGGAAUCUUGCGCAAGGGGCGAAAGCCUGACGGAGCAACGCCGCGUGAGUGAUGAAGGUCGUCGGAUCGUAAAACUCUGUUAUGAGGGAAGAACAUAUGUGUAAGUAACUGUGCACAUCGUGACGGUACCUAAUCAGAAGGCCACGGCUAACUACG
rnacentral:rRNA from 1 species